GGCCCUUUCGUCUAGAGGCCUAGGACACAAGGUUUUCAUCCUUGCAACCGGGGUUCGAAUCCCCGAAGGGUCA
rnacentral:tRNA from 1 species